rnacentral:tRNA from 1 species
GCCCAGAUGGUGAAAUUGGCAGACACGCCAGAUUUAGGUUCUGGUACCGCGAGGUGUGUAGGUUCGAGUCCUAUUCUGGGCA